GAUGAACGCUGGCGGCGUGCCUAAUACAUGCAAGUCGAGCGGAUCUUCAUUAGCUUGCUUUUGAAGAUCAGCGGCGGACGGGUGAGUAACACGUGGGCAACCUGCCUGUAAGACUGGGAUAACUUCGGGAAACCGGAGCUAAUACCGGAUAAUCCUUUCCCUCACAUGAGGGAAAGCUGAAAGACGGUUUCGGCUGUCACUUACAGAUGGGCCCGCGGCGCAUUAGCUAGUUGGUGAGGUAACGGCUCACCAAGGCGACGAUGCGUAGCCGACCUGAGAGGGUGAUCGGCCACACUGGGACUGAGACACGGCCCAGACUCCUACGGGAGGCAGCAGUAGGGAAUCUUCCGCAAUGGACGAAAGUCUGAUGGAGCAACGCCGCGUGAGCGAUGAAGGCCUUCGGGUCGUAAAGCUCUGUUGUCAGGGAAGAACAAGUAUCGGAGUAACUGCCGGUACCUUGACGGUACCUGACCAGAAAGCCACGGCUAACUACGUGCAGCCGCCGCCGUAAGAC
rnacentral:rRNA from 1 species